CCUACGGGGGGCAGCAGUAGGGAAUAUUGCUCAAUGGGGGAAACCCUGAAGCAGCAACGCCGCGUGGAGGAUGAAGGUUUUAGGAUUGUAAACUCCUUUUGUUAGAGAAGAUUAUGACGGUAUCUAACGAAUAAGCACCGGCUAACUCCGUGCCAGCAGCCGCGGUAAUACGGAGGGUGCAAGCGUUACUCGGAAUCACUGGGCGUAAAGAGUGCGUAGGCGGGGUAAUAAGUCAGAUGUGAAAUCCUGUAGCUUAACUACAGAACUGCAUUUGAAACUGUUACUCUGGAGUGUGGGAGAGGUAG
rnacentral:rRNA from 1 species